CGUGUAGGCGGUUUGGCAAGUCAGAGGUGAAAUGCCCCGGCUCAACCGGGGACCUGCCUUUGAAACUGCCGAACUUGAGGCCGUGAGGGGAGACUGGAAUUCCUAGUGUAGCGGUGAAAUGCAUAGAUAUUAGGAAGAACACCAGUGGCGAAGGCGAGUCUCUGGCACGGUUCUGACGCUGAGGCGCGAAAGCGUAGGGGAGCGAACG
rnacentral:rRNA from 1 species